rnacentral:pre_miRNA from 1 species
GAGGUACUCCCUCCGUCCGAAAAUACUUAUCAUCAAAAUGAACAAAAGGGAUGUAUCUAGACGUAUUUUAGUUCUAGAUACAUCCCAUUUUAUCCAUUUUGAUAACAAGUAUUUUCGGACGGAGGGAGUAUCAG